rnacentral:ncRNA from 2 species
AUAAUUUUGAAUAACAUCACUCGUAUAUACUCGGUAAUAUGGUCCGAGCGUUUCUACCUAGUUCCCAAUGAAAGAACUGGACUACGAGUUAAAGUAUUCGGUCG